GCUUGCUCUCGGGUGACGAGUGGCGGACGGGUGAGUAAUGUCUGGGAAACUGCCUGAUGGAGGGGGAUAACUACUGGAAACGGUAGCUAAUACCGCAUAACGUCGCAAGACCAAAGAGGGGGACCUUCGGGCCUCUUGCCAUCAGAUGUGCCCAGAUGGGAUUAGCUAGUAGGUGGGGUAACGGCUCACCUAGGCGACGAUCCCUAGCUGGUCUGAGAGGAUGACCAGCCACACUGGAACUGAGACACGGUCCAGACUCCUACGGGAGGCAGCAGUGGGGAAUAUUGCACAAUGGGCGCAAGCCUGAUGCAGCCAUGCCGCGUGUAUGAAGAAGGCCUUCGGGUUGUAAAGUACUUUCAGCGGGGAGGAAGGUGUUGUGGUUAAUAACCACAGCAAUUGACGUUACCCGCAGAAGAAGCACCGGCUAACUCCGUGCCAGCAGCCGCGGUAAUACGGAGGGUGCAAGCGUUAAUCGGAAUUACUGGGCGUAAAGCGCACGCAGGCGGUCUGUCAAGUCGGAUGUGAAAUCCCCGGGCUCAACCUGGGAACUGCAUUCGAAACUGGCAGGCUGGAGUCUUGUAGAGGGGGGUAGAAUUCCAGGUGUAGCGGUGAAAUGCGUAGAGAUCUGGAGGAAUACCGGUGGCGAAGGCGGCCCCCUGGACAAAGACUGACGCUCAGGUGCGAAAGCGUGGGGAGCAAACAGGAUUAGAUACCCUGGUAGUCCACGCCGUAAACGAUGUCGAUUUGGAGGUUGUGCCCUUGAGGCGUGGCUUCCGGAGCUAACGCGUUAAAUCGACCGCCUGGGGAGUACGGCCGCAAGGUUAAAACUCAAAUGAAUUGACGGGGGCCCGCACAAGCGGUGGAGCAUGUGGUUUAAUUCGAUGCAACGCGAAGAACCUUACCUGGUCUUGACAUCCACAGAACUUUCCAGAGAUGGAUUGGUGCCUUCGGGAACUGUGAGACAGGUGCUGCAUGGCUGUCGUCAGCUCGUGUUGUGAAAUGUUGGGUUAAGUCCCGCAACGAGCGCAACCCUUAUCCUUUGUUGCCAGCGGUUAGGCCGGGAACUCAAAGGAGACUGCCAGUGAUAAACUGG
rnacentral:rRNA from 1 species